GUCGAGCAGGGAAAAGAGGAAGGGCACAUUCUGAGACAGGAGAAAGCUGACCAUGGCCCACCUUUCCACUCCUUCCCUCCAUCCUGGGUUACAGACUCCAGGGUCUACAGCGAGGGUGGCUCUUGGGCAAGUGUAAUGUUGGUGGCAUUCUGGCUCCCCCAGGAUACCAGGGAAAGGUGUGACAUCUCCCCAGGCACCAGCACACAGACUUCCCUCUGCCAUCAUAAGGAUGGGACGGCAGCAUCUUCGGGGAUCUCAGAGCUGGAGUUUUCUCAUUUCCGCUGAUUUUAAUGUUGCCGCCAUCCCAGGAGCCCUGUGCUCGAGAUGAACAGGCACUUUUCCAGUU